AAAACACAACAAGUAGUUAAUUUAUAAAGAACCUCUGAUGGCUUUCAAGUAGUCUGUUUAAAACAGGACGGCACUUCUGUCAAACCACUCCUAGUAGGACAGUUGUUCAGAUGACAGAAACUAUUUCUAUGAUUGAUACUAACUUUCUCCUUCCUGGCCACCUCCGCCAAGCAUGGAACAGCCCCAGAGACUGAGCAGCAGCUCCUUCUCCUGACAGUUACGCUUCCAGUUACUACAGGGCUGGAGAACAGAGCCAGCACGUUUUGGGGCACAUCAUGGUGGUUUGAGCAAGGCUGCUCAGAUGGAGGAGGAUUUCAGCUUGUCUUUAAGAUUGUCUUUAAAAUUCUCAUUAAAUUCUCUAUACAUGAGUUAAUGGAUCCAUUUUUAGGGCCUGUGCUACAGAGCAGUUCCCCUCCCUGCCUUGAAGACCCAUGAUGUUACAAACUUAAAGAAAUAAACACAUUGUUGGUGGGAGACUAUUAAAAUUUAAAAUGAGAAGGAAUUUCUAAGUGCAACAUCAGAACCGUUUGUCGGUUCAAAAUAAAAAAAAGGGCAUGAAAUCGCAAGAAAUAAAAAAGUGACUGAACUUCACAUAAAUUUGUAAUGAAAUAAUUUAAUUCACAAGUCAGGGGAAUCACUGUUUGAUUUCCAGUACUUCCAUUUCACACUGUCCUUUUAAGACUCAGAGGUUAUUAAAAAUAUGUAUUUCAUGAUUCAACUUGAAAGGCUCCUAAGAGAUGCUAUAAAAAUGCACACAGCUCAUUACAUAGGAAUUGUACUUGAAAAAGACAUAAAUGUAAGGGACAGCCACACAACCUACUUCAAGCAUUUAGCUCAGGUGCCUAAAAUGCAGUGCUCAGGGUGUUCAGUAUGGCAGUCCUGCCCCCUGACAUCUCCACAGGGCCACCAGCACUGGGUCCCAUCUCUGUCCUCCGUGCCCACCAGCGACGUGGGGCAGAGCUGAACUGCAUCCGCUCGCAACAGAGCUAACCUCCGUCAGCCCAAGCAUACACAUCCAAUGCCCGUUUUCAUGGUCUGAGUUGAAGAAAAUUAUUAGAAGAGCCAAAAAAUAUACAGGACCCCCUGUAUUUAUACCUGUAUUUAUGCCCUUACAUCCUCUAAGUUGGAGAAAAUUAUUAGAAGAGCCAGAAAAAUA
rnacentral:lncRNA from 1 species